CCUACGGGUGGCUGCAGUGGGGAAUUUUGGACAAUGGGCGAAAGCCUGAUCCAGCCAUGCCGCGUGCGGGAAGAAGGCCUUCGGGUUGUAAACCGCUUUUGUCAGGGAAGAAAUCUUUCGAGCUAAUACCUUGAGAGGAUGACGGUACCUGAAGAAUAAGCACCGGCUAACUACGUGCCAGCAGCCGCGGUAAUACGUAGGGUGCGAGCGUUAAUCGGAAUUACUGGGCGUGAAUCGUGCGCAGAGGUGUGAACUCCCCGGGCUUAACCUGGGAACUGCACUUGUGACUGCACGGCUGGAGUACGGCAGAGGGGGAUGGAAUUCCGCGUGUAGCAGUGAAAUGCGUAGAUAUGCGGAGGAACACCGAUGGCGAAGGCAGUCCCCUGGGCCUGUACUGACGCUCAUGCACGAAAGCGUGGGGAGCAAACAGGAUUAGAUACCCGAGUAGUC
rnacentral:rRNA from 1 species